rnacentral:rRNA from 1 species
CCUACGGGAGGCUGCAGUGGGGAAUAUUGCACAAUGGGCGAAAGCCUGAUGCAGCAACGCCGCGUGAAGGAAGAAGGGUUUCGGCUCGUAAACUUCUAUCAACAGGGACGAAAGAAAUGACGGUACCUGAAUAAGAAGCCCCGGCUAACUACGUGCCAGCAGCCGCGGGAAUACGUAGGGGGCAAGCGUUAUCCGGAAUUACUGGGUGUAAAGGGUGAGUAGGCGGCAUGGUAAGUCAGAUGUGAAAGCCUUGGGCGUAAACCGAGGAUUGCAUUUGGAACUAUCAAGCUAGAGUACAGGAGAGGAAAGCGGAAUUCCUAGUGUAGCGGUGAAAUGCGUAGAUAUUAGGAAGAACACCAGUGGCGAAGGCGGCUUUCUGGACUGAAACUGACGCUGAGGCACGAAAGCGUGGGGAGCGAACAGGAUUAGAUACCCUGGUAGUC